rnacentral:piRNA from 1 species
UGCAAUUCAAGAAGAUAACGC